rnacentral:rRNA from 1 species
CCUACGGGAGGCAGCAGUGGGGGAUAUUGGACAAUGGGGGAAACUCUGAUCCAGCGACGCCGCGUGAGUGAAGAAGUCUUUCGGUAUGUAAAGCUCUGUCAGUCGGGAAGAAAGAAAUGCUGGUACCUGACCAAGAAGCUUCGGCUAACUACGUGCCAGCAGCCGGGGUAACAAGUAGGGGGCAAGCGUUAUCCGGAAUUACUGGGGGUAAAGGGAGCGUAGACGGCUGUGCAAGGCUGGCGUGAAAGGCGGGGGCUCAACCCCCGGACUGGUCUGGAAACUGUAUGGCUGGAGUGCAGGAGAGGUAAGCGGAAUUCCUAGUGUAGCGGUGAAAUGCGUAGAUAUUAGGAAGAACACCAGUGGCGAAGGCGGCUUACUGGACUGUAACUGACGUUGAGGCUCGAAAGCGUGGGGAGCAAACAGGAUUAGAUACCCUUGUAGUC